CGUGUAGGCGGUUGGUCAAGUCGGGUGUGAAAGCCCGGGCUCAGCCUCGGAAGUGCAUCCGAAACUAGCCAGCUAGAGCGCGAUAGAGGAGGGUGGAAUUCCUGGUGUAGCGGUGAAAUGCGUAGAUAUCAGGAGGAACACCGGCGGCGAAGGCGGCCCUCUGGGUCGUUGCUGACGCUGAGACGCGAAAGCGUGGGGAGCAAACAGGAUUAGAUACCCUGGUAGUCCACGCUAUAAACGAUGGGUACUAGGUGUUCGGGGUGUUGACCCCCUGAGUGCCGCAGCUAACGCAUUAAGUACCCCGCCUGGGGACUACGGCCGCAAGGUUAAA
rnacentral:rRNA from 1 species